UAGCUACAGUAUAGCUGACUUGGAGAUGGGGGAUGUUAUGUAGCUGUUCUACCUAGCUUGGUUUCAUGGUGUUAUCUAGAUCUAUCUAUGUCCAUGACAGGGGAACAGCAGGCCCACAGGCCCACCAGCCCUAGAAAAAAAAGAAAGAAAAAAAAAGGGAGUGGGGUGGGGGGUGUGUUGAUGGUUUACAAGCCUGUUUGGCCUGGUACUGUGACUAAUGAGGCAGGGGACUCACAGACCCACGCCCUGGGAAAGAGGGAAGGGAAAAAAAGGGAAAAGGGUACGGAGGUGGGAGAUGGGCCUAUAAACAGACCAUCAGCAACAAUCUAAGGAGGAAAGUUAACUUACUAAAUAUGAUAUCAGAAUGCAAAAUAGUACAGUAUAAUACAAUAUAAUUGGAAUUGAGGCUAGUAAAUCAAAUAGAAUGAGAGAGAGGGUGUUUGAAAACUGAAGUCCUUACUCUGAAUUGAAGACAAAAUGUCUGAGGAGCACACACACCUCCAGGCAGUGAGAAAGAGAGCAACUCCUGUGACUUGUGGGAUUUAUCUUCCCCUCUGAACACAAAGGCCUCUGGGAUAUGUAGUUCUCUUCUGAGAGCCAGGUAUUCAGAAAAUCAGCAGUCCAUGGAAGUUGGGCAUUGACUCUUCAACUCCCAGUGCUUUACAUGAUGUUAUAAUGUGAAAUACCAAUAACAAAAAUCAUAAAGCCAUGACACCUGGUCUCUCAGAAGACACCUCUGUUGUGAGUUUGCUAGGGGUAGAAGAACAGAAGGUACUGAUUGCUACUACAACCAUGCAUUGACUGCAAUAUCACACCAACCAGGAGUCCCUAAAUCUCAUUCAUCAGAUGAUUUGCAAACUGAAGGACCAAGGAGUAAUCAGCAGGAUUCGCUCACCUUUCUAUAGUACCACGUGGCUAGUGCAAAGUCCAAUGGAGAUCAUUGUGGGCUGAAUGAAGUUACUCCACAGAUAAGUGCUGCUGUGCCAGACAUGCUAGAACUCUAAUAUGAACUGGAGUCAAAGGCAGCCAAGUGACAUUGUUAAUACAUUUUUUUAAAUCCCCCUAUCGGAGGAGUUCAGGCCACAGUUUGCUUUUACUUGGACUACUUUUAUCCAGUACACCAGGAAUAGACUGUCCCAGGGGUGGAAACAUAUCCCUACCAUUUGUCAUGAGCUGAUCCAUGCUGCACUGUAACAGGGUGAAGGUCCUGAACACCUGCAAUACAUUGAUGGCAUCAUCACAUGGCGCAACACAGCAGAAGUUUUUGAGAAAGGGAAGAAAAUAAUUGAAAUCCUUCUAAAAGCCAAUUUUGCCAUAAAGCAAAGUGAGGUCAAGGCACCUGCACACAAGAUUCGGUUGUCAGGAAUAAAAUGUGACGAUUAAAGUCAUCACAUCCCUGUGGAUGUGACCAAUGAAAUAACUGCUCUGUGUGGACCAACUAGCAAAAAUAAAACACAAGCUUUCUUCGUUGUUGUGAGUUUCUGGAGAACGCACAGUCCAGAUUAUUGUCUGAUUGUAAACCUUCUCUAUUAAUUGACCGAAAGGAAGAAUGAUUUCACAUGGGGACUUGAGCAACAAGAAGCCUUUGAACAAAUUAAACAGGAGAUAGCUCAUGCGGUAGCCCUUGGGCCAGUCUGGACAAGACAAGAUGUAAAAAAUAUGCUCUACACCACAGCCAGGGAGAAUGGCCUCACUUGGAGCCUCUGGGAGAAAGUCCCAGGGGAGACUUGAGUAGACAUAGGGUUUCAGAGUCAAGUAUACAGAGGAUCUGAGGCCUGCAGUACUCAUCUGAAAAAAAGAUAUUGGCAGAAUAUGAAGGGGUCCAAGCUACUUCAGAAGUGGUUGAUAUUGAAGAACAACAUAGAGGUAAACCCACCUGGGCCACUGCGUUAUGGAAAGAUAUUGCUGCCUAGAUAGUGAACAUGGUUAUAAAGGCAUGUCACCCAAGAGUCUGUCCACUGAAAAACAUCAAAAUAACCAGGACGUGGUUUGGGCCACCAGGACUGAAAUAGCUUAGGUAGAUUUGGACUGGCAACAUAAUAGUGAACUAUUUCUAGCUUGGUGGGCCUAUGACAUUUUGGCCCGGGCCAUCAAGGAUGAGAUGCAAAAUAUAGAUGGACUUGGGCUUGAGGGGUGGACUUGACUAUGGAUGCUAUUGCAGAGGUUAUCCAUGAAUGUGAAAUAUAUGCUGUAAUUAAGCAAGCCAAGCAGAUAAAACCUCUUUUGUAUAGAGGACAGUAGUUGAAAUAUACAUAUGGAGAGGCUUGGCAGGUGGAUUACAUCACACUCCCACAAACUCUCCAUGACAAAUGCUAAGUGAUUACAAUGGUGGACACAACCAUCAGAUGGCUGGAAACAUAUUCCAUGACCCAUGCCACCACCCAGGAUACUAUCCUGGGUCUUGACAAGAAAGUCUUAUGGUGACAUGGUGCCCCAAAAAGAAGUGAGUCAGACACUGAGACUAAUUUCUGAAACAACCUUAUAACCUCCUGGACCAAAGAGCAUGGCACUGAGUGGGUAUAUCACAUCUCCUACUAUUCACCAUCCUCUGGAAUAAUUGAAUGAUAGAAAGGACUGUUAGAGACUACACUGAGAGCAAUGGGUGUUGGGACAUUCAAACAGUGGGACACACAUUUAGCAAUAGCCACUUUGUUAAUCAAUAUUUGGUGAUUUGCCAGUCAAGCUGGUCCUGCCCAAGGAAAUCUUCUGCAUACUGUAGAAGAGGAAAAUGUCCCAGUAGCGCACAUAAAAAACAUGCUGGGCAAGACAGUCUGGGUUAUUCCUGCCUCAUGCAAAGGCAAGCUGAUUCAUGGGAUUGCUUUUAUUCAAGGACCUUUGUGCAUGUGGUAGGUGAUGCAGAAAUAUGGGGAUGUCCAUUGUGUACCUCAAGAUGAUUUGAUGCUGGAUGAGAGCAGACAAUAAUCUAAAUUGCCUAAUGUUAAUUACUAUAUAAUACUACGUAUCAUCAUUAUUACAGUUGUUAUAUGUGUUGCUAACAGUAGUACAGUAAGAAUUAUGAAGGUUAAAGAAGAAAUAAAAUGAAACCAGAACUAGCUUCUUCAUGUAGUAACCCAACACUGUGAAUCAUCCCUCCUGCACAGAAGGACUGUUAUGACAGAGGAAGCCCAAAAUUAUGAACUAAAUGAAUAGCAUGGACAAUUUACAUGUAUGGCCCACAGAUUAUGGGAAUAAUAUAUAUGUGCCUAUGUAUCAAAAAGCAAGAUAGGUGAUGGUAAUUUGUUAGGAUGUGUAGAAAUUUUGAAACCAGAGCGUGAUGUAAGUGGUAUGGAUACGGGAUGGAUAUUUUUUAGUUUCAUCUGGGACAGAGUUGUUUUCUUUAGAAUGUCUGGUAUGAUGCUAUGUUUUGGUUCUAGGAGAAAAACAAUGUUGAUAACACCAAUGUUUAUAGCAGCUGCUAAGCAGUGCUGCAAAGAACCAAGGCCAUUUACAGUGAAGGGCCCAAGUAGCUGGGAGGGAACAUGAUUAGGACAGCUGAUUUAAACUGGCCAAAAGGAUAUUUCAUAUCAUAUGACAUCAUGUGUACAGUUUUGAAGGGUGUGGGAGGGCAUCUUUCCUCUGCUGUUGGAGGGCCUACCUGAGCAUCAGUUGUGAGGUGGUGCCCUACAGAAAAACAGAAGUCUGGCAUUGCUUCCUGUGAGAGCCGAAAGCCUGGAACUGGAGCCAAAGAUUUUCAGACAGAUUAAAGGAGAUUCCCUUGAGUAACGUGCCACACAUCACGGCACAUUGAACAGAUCAGUGGAUGCCCUUGAUACCACAAAUGAAGAAACAUUCUCUUUGCUGUACAUGCUCAGGUCUGGCACAAAAUAUCAUUAUGGAACCUCUGAUUCCAUUACAGCCGUGGAGAGCAGAACGAAGUCAAGAAGCCUGUAAAGAAGGUGGUUCCCGCAGGCAGCGAGCUGUGCACUGACCCCAGGCUUCUGCAGCGACUACGUCUGGAGGAGUUUCUCCACUUGCUGGAAAGAAAACAUAAGGAGAAUUUUAGUGGGCAAAAUAAAGGCAUCUCUGCUCAUGUGAAUGCUCACCCAUGAGCACAACAGAGCAACACAUGUGAACCACAGAUUUUGUUUCUCUACUUUUCUUGCAGUCAUUCAUACUGUUACCUUUUUCAAUGUAUUGAUCUGCUUUUUCUGUAAACGGUGACCCCUUGUAAAGGGGUAAAUUCAGCUUGGAAGUAAUGUCUAGUAAUGUCUAGUUUCUGAUAUGCCUUUUUUCAAGGCUCACUGAGCUGAGGAAAAGGGUAUUUAAAAAGCAGACUUUGAAUAAUGCUUUAUUCAUUACACUAAAUAGCUUAUUCAUUUACUAAUCUGACCAAUUCUAACUACUGCUCGCUCAUUGUAUUCUCUCUGACUCACGAAGGAAGAAAAUAGAGACAAGUAGACUGUGUUGUCUGUGCCUGGCAAUUACGGUGCACAUCAGUGGUAGCAGGAUGAGUGGAAGUUCAAAUCCCUUUCUGCUGUAUUCUAUUAAUUCAAGAAACUGCUUUGUAUGAAAAUGCACAUAGGGCAGCACUUAGCACACAUAGUUCAGAGCCAGGAAGGUUGAGACAAUCAGCUGUAGAUGUACUCAGUUACUUCCUGCCAUCAUCUUUCCUCCCACGAAAUCCAGACUACUCAUGGAAAUCCUGAGCUAUUGCAGACUUUUUUUCUGGAAAAAUGACAUGUCACCAAGAUCUUUCAAAUUGCAAGAAAAGCUUUUGUUUUUUGUUAACUCUUUCAAGAAUCUCUUUUUACAACAAAAAACAAAUGCUUCAUUUUCCUUCAGAAGAGAAAAUUGUGUGAAGGAGGAAAACUUACAUAAGAAGCAGUGCUAUAAUGUUACUCCAAAAAUGUCAAACACACAUUUGUUCUUCGGAACAAAAAUUGGAAUUUUCUGUUUUAUUCUCCUGGUAAACCACUAGAUACAGUAUUUUAAUUAGAAGUAACUUUUGAUGACUGAGACAGAAACUGGACCAUGAAAAAGGGGUUCUUCCAGGAGAGAUGUUCAAAGUCCAUUAAGACCACCAUGAAAAUCUCUGUGGCCAUUUCAGUGACUUGCUUUGUUACCAAAUCUGCUCACUUCUUAAACUAGCUAGCCAAUUCAAUCCUUGCUUCAUUUUAGAAUGGGAAAAUAUUUAUUUAACAAGAAAACUGAGGAAUAGUACUUAUUUUUUAAAAGUCUACAAACACCAGUACAUAUGAAAGUGUAUGACUACUGAUGAACAAAGCUUUUGUGCCAAAGAAAACAAGGAACAGGGAAAACAAGAAAACAAGGCUUUAAGGUAGUGUUCCUGCUUUGUCAUGUAGAUCUUGUGCUGCAAAUUUGGAAUUACAAAAUUGAGGUGAUUGUAGAAUUUGUAUAAGUACCUGUUUUUCUUUCCCAUUUUCUUCAGUGACUUUAAACAGACCAAAACCCAAUCAAUUUUUCUGAAUAAUUCAAAAAUUUCAGUGGUGAUGGUGGUCUUAAGUCUCAAGGUAAUAACAUGAGGUUUUUGAGGCAAAGUUAUUCAAAUGGAAUUCAGGUGCUAACUCAGGACUUUAAAAUUUUCUGUUAAAAUAUAUACAAAGCAAUGAAAUUCAAUAUUUCUAAUGUAUCAGAAUAAUCUGCUUAUGCUGUUCUGUGCUGUUUUUGCUGUUUUGUGAAUCUCACUGUGGCUGGUAAAGAAUUUUGUUCAUUGCAGGUGAUCUGCAGUUCAAGGUUCUUCCUUAAGGAAUAAUUCUAAGAAGAUAUUAAUAAAAUUGGAAGAAAUUACCAAGUGGGUUGUGUGGAAUUCUUGUCAGCGAGUCACCACCAGAACCUGUUGGAGGUAAUCCCAGUGUAGACAUUCUAUCAGCCAGCCGCCACCAGUAAUGAGGACUUGGGGGAGUGUCCACCAGCCAGCCCCCCUGGUAACAUGAGGACCUCUCUAUCAAACUGAUGAAAGUUAACUUCUUGCCUCCAUGUACUCUCUUCAGGAUGGGUAAACCUUACACAAAAGAGCUGUCAUUUUUGCAUUACACAAAGUAAGCUAAGGUAAAUCAAGUUAGUGACGUAAAUCCAACUUUCAUAAAUUAAGGGGUGUUAAACCAUUUCUUUGUCAUUUAAUUUCUUCAGGACUGCAGCUGUAGAUUUGCUGAAGGACUGAGCUCACUUCUUGUUAUUGAUUGUUCUUAAGUUUCAUGUAUUUUAGACAAUUCCAAGAGUAAGACAACAGAGUGGCUGUGGCUUCUGUGUCUUUGGAGGUAUUCAAAACCCAGCUGGGCAUGGUGCUGAGCAACCCUCAUGGACCCUACUUUGAGCAGAGUAGUAUGACUUGACUAUUUUCAAGGGUCCUUUCCCACCUCAGGCAUUCUAGGAUUCUGUGUAGACAUGUUGCUGUUGUCAAGCUGUUAGUGAAGAAAUAUGAGCAAAAUUUUAAUCUUUAAAUUUUCCCCUGCCAUCACAUUUACAGAUAUACUUUGUAUACACAUAUACUUUAAGAUGAGCUUUUAACUACUGAAUUAUCCUUUCUGUAAUAUAGUGAAUUGUUCAAAUGUAAGACCUUUUAAAUGGGAAAUUUAGAUGUUAUGCCAGCAAUUCCUCUUCAGAAUUCAGAAUCAGUUGCCAAUUAAGUGGUUAUUGACUUUAUCUUUGGUCUAUGAGAAACUUUCUCACCAGAUCUUCUCUGAUUUUUCAUUUUGGAUGACUUACAACGUACUCAUUUUGAUAGUAUUUACUGUUGUUUUUAUUUCCCCUUGCUGGUUCCAGUGUACUGUAAGAUGUUAAGUGAAUUUAGCCAUAAAUGACAUAAACCUUUUCAGUAGUCUUAGUAUUUACCCAGAUUGGCUUAUUUCUAUAUCUCUUCAAAUGUUCUGAAUUUGAUCUCUUGCUGAAUAAUCUGGAUGUUCAGUAUCUGUUUAAGAAGAACUGUAUCCACUUAAUGGAAGCACGCAAGGAUGCAGAGCACUGGAAAGCAGCAGAACUCCUAAUUUAGUCCACUGUCUGUAUUUAUCGCUGUUGUUCAGUGUGUGUGCCUUCCCUCCCACCCCAGCUGCCAACACACAGAUGGCAUUCCCAGCAAAGUAAACAAUUUGGAUUCAGUACACUAUUUGUGGUCUGGAAAUGGGAGCAGCUGACUGGGAGAAGGGAGGAAGGGGAGGGCUAGCUUUACAUAUUUUGGGUCAAGUUCUGACCUGAAUUAUACCUAGUCACUGCAGGGAGGUCCUGGGGCUACCAGCGGCAGGGGUCAAGACAAGGUCUGGUACUGUACACACUUGGUACAUUCUGAGGUUUGGAUUUAAAUUUCCAUCCUAUGCAAUUAUUGAGUUCUAGCAUUUUAGCAACUUUAAAUAAUUAAAAGGCCUGGAAAAAAAAAUAGGUAUUGUUUGCCUUAGAAACCAAGUGAAAACAAUGAGGAAGAAGAAGGCACCUCUGCGAAGUUGUUACGAUUAAACCCAGACAAACAGUGGAACAUUUGCAGUGUCUAUGAACAGAUGUCUAAUGACAAGCAAACAAAACAGUAAUUCUUAAAUAAUGAUUUAUCUUUGGUUUAUUUUUAAAGGCCUUUUGCUCAGCCCUUUCAUAUUAGUCAUUUUGAUAUGCUUAUAGUAUUGUAUGCUAGCCCCAGUGUCUACUUAGAAACAUGACUGUCUGGGGUUGGAUGCAAGAGAAGAAGAAAGGAGAGACAAGGUUUUUUUUAGACUAGAAGAUAACAUAGGCACAGGUGCCCCAGAUUUUUUCUUCAGAAAAGAAUUCUUCAGAAAUUUCAGGUGCCUGUAACAUUUUCAGACUUUCCUUUCCCAAAGCAGCACAUGACCCAGAGUGAAAAGCUUCAGAUAAAAUGAUUUUGCUGAACAAAGGCUAAGAGAAAAUGUUGCUCUUUUAGGAAUCUUAAAAAUAUUUCUGCAACUGUUUUUUGUUGAGAAGCUCUAGUACCUCCAUGUGUUGCAAUGAUUUGGCACAUCUGACAGCAGGAUUUUUUUUUUUUUUGGCCAUUUUUGAAUGAGUUAAAACUUAUUCAAAAUACAUCUCACAGUAAGAGUUUCUUAAAAAUAUCAGUUCAUAAAUGCACGGCAGAGUUCUUACUGCUCAGCUGCAGUGGGGCCACUGAAGCAUCAGAUCUGAGAGCAGAGACAGAUGUCCUUUCCAGUGACUUGGGCUAGAUUUAAGCAGGUACUGGCCCACCUGCUGGGCACUGCUCCUGUAUCUCAGAUGUCAUAGAUGAUUAUCUGAAUGCUCGAACUCAGAUUGAAUGCAAGUGCAGGAAAGCAGUGCCAUUCACUGACAGUGCUAUCCGAACAGUCCCCAGCUGCUCAUUCCCAGCCUAUGCUGUCUUUCAGUUGACCUUGUAACAUUGUUUAUGGGUCUGUGUGACAACUGGAUCAGAUAUUCCCCACCCUCUCAAAAAGGAAAAGAAGAAAAAGAAAAAAAACAAAAACAAACAAACAACAACAACAACAACAAAAAACAACCAAAGAAAGUUCCAGUUAUUCUUAGCCUGAACUCUGUCAAUACAGAGAUGAUUGCCAAUAGAUUUGUUAGACUGUAACUGUCUGUACCCUGAGAGAUCAAGAAGAGGGAGACUGUCUUUUCCAUGCACUGAUUUUUCCUCUUGUUUUUUUGUGUGCAGAUAUCAUAAGGAGACCAAAAUGUAUUCACACCUGCAGUACAGUCAGGACAGCAAAGUGAGCAGCUGAGGGCUGGCAUUCUGCCUUCAGAAAGCAGACAGCUGUGGCUGGUAAUCCCCUGAACUGCCACUGUAGGGUUUGAUAAAGCUUAUAAAGCCUCUCUGGCAGAGCCCCUCAUGCUCUACCACCUUAAAAGGCAACUAAGAAGUGUUAAUAGUGUUUAUGUAUGAAGUCAAAGUCUCUGCUGGUGCCAUGAGCACUUUGUUAUGCACAAGAAAUGCAUUAAUGUUUCUGUCUAGAGCCACAAGCAAAAUUCUUUAUUGACCAGGAGGAAAGUUUUGUAAUCUAUUUGAAUAAUAUCCCUUUAAUUAGAAUCAGAAAACACAGGACUAUCAGACUUUAUAAUCAAUCAGUUAGUGAUAAUGCAAAGAUUUCCCACUGUUCCUUGGACAAACCACUUACAAAAGCAGGCUUGUAUUUUUAAACAGAAAUUGGAUUUGAAAGAGAUGUGGCACAAAGGUACCUUAUAGUCUUUGUGCACUAUAAAGAGUUUCAAUGGUGGGAAUAAUUUUGGCUCAUUGGUGCUUGCUGUUGCUUUCCACAAGGAGCCCACGGGGAACCUAUAAGCUUUUUAUAAGAGGCCUGGAGGCCUGUGAAAAAUUACCUGUGAAAAUUCAGGAUUUGCUUUGUAAAGCUCUGCUCUUCCACUGGGUCAAAAAAGAAAACUAGGAGCCUGAAACUGGUAUAGAAGCAUACAUUUGUGCUGUAGAUGACUGCAUGCUAAUACCUGUGUAGUCAAGCACGUGUGUUUGCCCACUAUGGUCUUAAUCAUCUUUUGAGUUCUCAGGUAGAUUUCUCAGUGAUCUGAAUUCUUGGGAUGCCAACAUAAGAAAACUCAAAUUUAUUUAAGGAACUUAUAGGGUUUAAACAGAUAUAUACAUUGGGAAACAAAAUGGAGUGAUUGGAAUGAUGAUUUUAAAUAAAUACCAAAAAAAAAAAAAAAAAAAGAAAGAAAGAAAAAAAAAAGAAAGAAAAGAAAGAAAGAAAAAAAGAACAACCUCAAACUGAACAAGCUGUGUUUCAUUCUCUUGUUUAAUUAAAUUUUUUGAGAACUCCCUUUUUGAAAAGCAUAUGUGACACAGAUUUCCUAGUCAUUUGGGAAUGAGUUAGAUAUGUGUCUGCAUAUUAUUCAAAUUCCAGCUGAUUAAGACGCUGUAUAUACCAGAAGUUUCCUGUGAUAUUUCUAUGGUUUAUUGUGAACAGCAAAAGUAGCUUGGAACUUUUAGAUGAAAUGAUUUUCAUCCAAAAACACACCUAUUUGUCUAAGCCAAAACAUGGUAGGAAGUGGAUCAAAUAAGAUUUCAAAACACUGAAAAACUGAAUUUGAUAAAAACACAUUUUUAACACUUCAAAGGUUUUGUUCUCUCAAAAAUGGCUUUUAGUUACAAAAUAUACACUAGUUCUAGUACAAUCCAAAUAUUCUUAGAUAACCUAAGAGAAAUAUUGCCAUUGACUCUUUUGACAUUAUCAUUAUUUUUAGUUCCAAAACUUUAUCAAGGUCUUAAUUUGUAAUAUCUUUUUUCUCUCAGUUCAAGAAAGGGAUGUUUUCACAAGAUGGGAAACAGUCCAAAUCCAGUCCUAAUUUAGUCCCUUAUGUUACACAGAACUUGGUUGAGCUUGGUAGAAGGGAAUAAAGCAGAACCACGUAAGAACCUCAGGAAAAAAAAAAAAAAAGUUCUACUUUCCCUUUACAUCUGUUCCCUAGCCUUAAUCAUCCAUUAUCAGCUAUAGUUCUGGUAUGAUUGAUUAUUACCAGGUAUCCAUUCCAGCAAGUAAAGAAUAAUGGUGAAGGAUAAUCUGAAUCUACUGUUUAUGCAAAUGUUCAUGAUUCUCUACUCAAUGACUAAACAAAUACAAAACUUUUUCUAUUCUUUCAAGCAGGGUUAUUUAUUUUAUAUGUUAUAGAUUGAUAUUUACAAAUUAAUCCUUUUUAAAAAUGGAAAAAUUUUACAUGUUUGUGUCUCUCUUUCAUAUGAUAAUGAAAAUAAACCUUCUGUUAUUAUGCAGUUGUUUUAUUUCAAGAUAACACAGAAAGAAAACUAGCAUGUUGACUUCAGUUCAUUAGGGAGCGACAGAAAAGUUCUCUCUCAUUCUAUGUCCUGAAAAAAUACUGGUUUACCUCAAGUUAUGAUAUACACUAAAUGACUACUGUUCUGCUUCAGUGGUUGAAAAUGCAAAAAAUUAUUUGUAUGUUACUACAUUUUAUUUCAAAGAAAUCUUUUCUUAUUCAUUAUAAGUUUAUUUUUUUAAUUUAGUUACAUGACCUAGAAGUUGUAGUGACUGAAAGCGGACAGUUGGAGGUGAGAUAUCAAGUCUCAAGCUUCUACUGGGAAAAUAUGUAGAAAAAGAAGGUGUGAUUAGGGAUGUUUUGUUGAGAAUAUGGGAAAAAGGAAACAGAAGAUUUCUGUCCUUCUUGGAAAAGAGCGCUGUGAGAAUUUCUGACAGCAGAAGUUGAAUCUGAGAUCUGGGUACACUGAAGCCAAUGAUGAACCUCCUGAAAACAUCAUGUCACUGGAGCUGUUUGUCAGGUAGAAGAACAUCUGAAGGCCCUGGAAAAGGAAAGUCACCAGACAGCAGCUCACUCAUAUCUUUGUUGUCACCUUAGAGAAUUAGAGGUGACACUCAAUUUAGAAAAUACUGGGUUUAACUGUAAAUAACGCUUUCAGAAUUUCAUUAAAGAAAGAGUUGACAACUGAACUUUACAACGUUCACUUGCAGGUGCCAGCAGUGGGACAACUCCUCUUUGCCUGACUCAGAUUCAGAGAGGCUUUGGGUUGCCCCAGGCCCAAGAAAGACAAAGGGCGUGUACUGCUAUCCAAUCCAUGAGCUCAUUGAAAAAGGUGAUUUCCUCAAGGCAGAAUUUACAUUUUUGCUGUGUUGGCCAACAUGGUACACAUGUUGGGUAGAUCAUCAACUGCUGUUACUUGUCGUAGUUCUAUGGAAUUUGGUGAAGUCUGAGCAAUCCAUACAAUAUGAGGAUUUCACCUAUAUAAGAAGAAUCAAAGAAUAUUUUACAUUCAGUCAUUUUUCAUGACAGAGGACUGACUUGAUCAAUAUCUUUUUAUAGGGCAUAUGUAACUACAGAAUUAAUUCAAGUAGGUUGUUUUUUUCUUUUUUUAAUAAGCUGGAAGUUCUAUGAUUUUUACACUUUCAUAUGCUCAUUAACUCAUCAUUUACUAUGAAUUCAUCCACUUGCAGAGCUUGAUAUAUAUGUGAUUUGACAAUUACAAUUCUUUCUGUUUAAGGACAAAUUUCAAUUUUCUUGUAAUUUCACCCACUGGAAGGAUAGAAGUAUUCUUUUUCUUUUACAGAGAUGAGUAAUUUUCCAUCAUAUCAUGUGUGGUGGCACUUUUUUUCUUGAAGAGUUAAAGGCUAGAUGAAAAUUUCAUCCUACUUUAUCUUCUCUUUAUAUUACUUGCAGAGUCUUCUCUCUUAGUUAUCUGCUCCUGACAUUUUUAGUCUUAGUUCUGUUCGGUGUCCUUUAUCUGACUCAUAUUGUUCAGAUUGAUCCUUAGAAGAUUCUCUACAAACUGCAGGAAUUAUUUAAAAUCAGGCUGCAAGAAGGGCCAUCCCAGCUCAGACUGAAAAAGACCUAUCUAACCCAGUAUCUUGGCUCCAAAAAUGAGGACAAAUAGUGAAAAGUGGACGAUUACUGAAGAUUAUAAUAAAAUGAUAAGCUUGCAGUGAUAGCUACCCACAUUAUCUUCCCAGCUUCCAGUGAUACAAUAUCCUAAGUCUGAGGCUGCCUCUUUGCAUUUAAUAGGUCCUGGUGGAUGAGUUCGUCCAAGAGAUUUUUAAUUCAUGUCAGCUUCUGUAAACCUCAACAUCUUGUGACAAGCAAAUUCAAAGUUGCCUAACUGCUGCAUGAGGCAACGCUUCUGGUUUUAUUUGUUUUGAAUUAACCAAUUAUUUUAUGCCUCCUUGUUUACUGUCUAUUGUGAUACAAAAACUUCCGUUCCCUCUGUGACCUGUCUUUACUACUCCUGAUUUUAGAAAGCUUUUAUCUUUCCUUCCACUACCAUAGUGGAUUUCUUUUUUGUUUUGCUCACGUAUGCAAUUUACUGUAAAUUUAGCUGUUAAUAUAGAAAGACUUAAAUAAUGCCAGAUGUCUUUUCUGAUUGUUUUCAAGAAAUAUGGCUGUGGAUGUUUUGUUUCCUAAAUUUUCUUCCUUUCAUCUAAAAUGAUAUACUUGCCUCUACAAUUUCCAAGUUACCUGAACAAAGUUAAAAGAUGGAAGAUAUUACUAUUUUUUUUAACACCUUACCUUUGUUAUUUGUUCAGUUGUUGCAAUUAAUAUUUGCCUUUUCUAAGAUAAGAGGUCAAUGUUCAAGUGCUUCCUUGCUGCUAGCAGCUGGUGGGCAUCCAUGGCUUAUCCCACAGAGUGCAAUCAGUACCUGACAGUACCCUCCCAGCUGCCCUGCUGCAUGGGAUCACAGUGUGCAAGGCUCUCAGCCACCUCCUGCAGUAUUUUGGAGCACUAAUGCAACAGUGCUAGCUUUCCAAGGAGGCUGGAAUUUACAGUUUCACUCUAAACAAGCUUCUGGACAAGGUCCAUCUGCAGCAGCUUUGUGAAACUGCAGUACAUGUAGAAUAACUGAGAAAGCCGUUGCAUGGGGCACACAAACUCCAAAUUCGGGAAAAUAACUUGUUAAGAGUGCUACCAAAUGAAUUUGCCAUUUUUCCCUUGUACUUUCAUUCUUGAUUAAUGGACUGACCUUGUCUGAGAGUACUCUGAAAGGCUCUGUCAGUUCAGUAGGCAAGAAAAACUUAAGAUACAGACUUGUAACUGCAUUUGCAGCAAUGAGUGCUAACCAGAAGGAGAAAAUCACAGAAUCACAGAACCAUAAAAUUGUAGGGGUUGGAAAGGACCUCUGAAGAUCAUCUAGUCCAACCCCCUAUUAAGGCAGUUUCCCUACAGUAGAUUGCACAGGAAAGCAUCAAGGUGAGUUUUGCAUAUCUCCAGAGGAGAAGUCACAACCUGUCUGGGCAUUCUGUUCCAGUGCUCUGUAACCCUCAAAGUAAAGAAGUCUUUUCUCAUGUUCAUAAGGUACUUCCUGGGUUUCAGUUUGUACCUGUUGUCUCUGGGCUUCCACUUGCUUCCGGCACUUUAUAAGCAUUGAUAAGAUACCCUCUCAGUCUCUUU